AUUGAACGCUGGCGGCAUGCCUAACACAUGCAAGUCGAGCGAGCGGCGGACGGGUGAGUAAUGUCUGGGAACCUGCCUGAUGGCGGGGGAUAACUACUGGAGACGGUAGCUAAUACAGCAUACCAUCAGAUGUGCCCAGUUGGGAUUAGCUAGUAGGUGGGGUAACGGCUUACCUAGGCGACGAUCCCUAGCUGGUCUGAGCGGAUGACCAGCCACACUGGAACUGAGACACGGCCCAGACUCCUACGGGAGGCAGCAGUGGGGAAUAUUGCACAAUGGGCGAAAGCCUGAUGCAGCCAUGCCGCGUGUGUGAAGAAGGCCUUCGGGUUGUAAAGCACUGUCAGCGGGGAGGCGUUACCCGCAGAAGAAGCACCGGCUAACUCCGUGCCAGCAGCCGCGGUAAUUC
rnacentral:rRNA from 1 species